AGGUCAUUUCAGGGAAAGCUGUGGGACCAAAGCCAGGAGCUCAUAACGCUGUGACCUGCUUGAAGUUCUCCAUAGGAUAUAAGAGACACUCUGUAGUGCUGUGCUACUGAUAUCAAUGA
rnacentral:snoRNA from 1 species